rnacentral:rRNA from 1 species
CUGCCCUGCACUUCGGGAUAAGCCUGGGAAACUGGGUCUAAUACCGGAUAUGACCUCCUAUCGCAUGGUGGGUGGUGGAAAGAUUUAUCGGUGCAGGAUGGGCCCGCGGCCUAUCAGCUUGUUGGUGGGGUAAUGGCCUACCAAGGCGACGACGGGUAGCCGACCUGAGAGGGUGACCGGCCACACUGGGACUGAGACACGGCCCAGACUCCUACGGGAGGCAGCAGUGGGGAAUAUUGCACAAUGGGCGAAAGCCUGAUGCAGCGACGCCGCGUGAGGGAUGACGGCCUUCGGGUUGUAAACCUCUUUCAGCAGGGACGAAGCGCAAGUGACGGUACCUGCAGAAGAAGCACCGGCUAACUACGUGCCAGCAGCCGCGGUAAUACGUAGGGUGCAAGCGUUGUCCGGAAUUACUGGGCGUAAAGAGUUCGUAGGCGGUUUGUCGCGUCGUUUGUGAAAAC